rnacentral:rRNA from 1 species
UGGGGAAUUGUUCGCAAUGGGCGCAAGCCUGACGCAGCAACGCCGCGUGGAGGAUGAAGGUCUUUGGAUUGUAAACUCCUGUCAGCAGGGAAAAAGCGACUUAGGUUAAUACCCUAGGGAGUUGAUUGUACCUGCAGAGGAAGCACCGGCUAACUCUGUUCCAGCAGCCGCGGUAAUACGGGGGGGGCAAGCGUUGUUCGGAAUUACUGGGCGUAAAGGGCGCGUAGGCGGCCACCUAAGUCAGACGUGAAAUCCCUCGGCUCAACCGGGGAACUGCGUCUGAUACUGGGUGGCUUGAAUUCGGGAGAGGAAUGCGGAAUUCCAGGUGUAGCGGUGAAAUGCGUAGAUAUCUGGAGGAACACCGGUGGCGAAGGCGGCAUUCUGGACCGACAUUGACGCUGAGGCGCGAAAGCCAGGGGAGCAAA